rnacentral:rRNA from 1 species
AUGGUGCGUGAGCUCCGCGCCGACUCCUUCUACGCCCACCUCCGCGCCGCCGCCGCAGCGGUUUCCUCCGCCUCCCCUCUCCUGAUCCUCCCGUCCGCGGCCGACGCCGACUCGCUCUGCGCGCUCAGGAUCCUCACCCACGUCCUCUCCGCCGACUCCGUCCGCUUCUCCGUCUACCCCGUCGCCUCCACCGCCGAUGCGGCCGAACUCCUCGCCUCCUUCUCCGGCGUCGCCGCGUCCUCAUCCCAGUCGCCGCCGCCGCUCUGCGUACUACUCAUCAACUGGGGCGCGCGCUGCGACCUCCUCCGCGGCGUCCUGCCGCGCGGCUCCACCGCCUUCGUCGUGGAUUCGCACCGCCCCGUGAACCUCCGCAACCUCGCCGCGGGGAACGACCGCGUCGUCGUGCUCUUCACCGCUGAUGACGAGCGCGCCGCCGACCUGUCGUAUGACUUCGACGUGUCCUCCCUUGCCGACGCCUCCGACCUAACGGCCGAGGGGGACGCGGACGACGACCACCUCCGCGCCUCCGAGGAGUCAGAUGCCUCGGAUUACGAUUCCGACGCCGAGGGAGGGAGGAGGAAGAGACGGCGGGCGCCCGAUGACGCGGAGGCGGACGGCGGCGAUCCGGUGAGGCUGUUCGGGAGGCUGCGGCGGGAGUACUACCGGCUCGGCACCUUCCACGGGAAGCCGUCGGGGUGCCUCAUGUACGACCUCGCCCACGCGCUGCGCAGGAACACCAAUGAGCUCCUCUGGCUUGCCUGCGUCUCCCUCACCGACCAGUUCGUCCACGAGCGCAUCACCAGCGAGCGCUACCACGACGCGGGCAUGAAGCUCGAGCAGCACAUCAACGGAUCCGGCAACCUCGAUCCGUCCGGCGUCGGCUCCGUGGUCACGCUCAAGGACGGGACCAGGAUCCGUGCGCCCGAGACCUCCCGCAUCGCCUACGAGGACGAGCCGAGGCUUAUGCUGCUGCGGGAGUGGAGCUUGUUCGACUCCAUGGUCUGCUCCUCUUAUGUCGCGACGAGGCUCAAGACGUGGAGCGACAACGGGCUCAAGAAGCUGAAGCUUCUUCUGGCGAGGAUGGGGUUCCCGCUCGCCGACUGCCAGAAGGGGUUCCAGUACAUGAGCAUGGAGGUCAAGAGGAAGAUGCGCGAUGAGUUUGACCGCUUCCUGCCGGAGUAUGGGCUCACCGAGUUCUACUACAGAAGCUUCCUGCGGGUGCACGGGUACAAAUCCAAGGUCUCUGCUGCGGAUGUUGUGUAUGGCGUCACAGCUUUGCUUGAAUCUAAGAGUGCCGAGUCCAAUGACUCGAAGGAAUGUUCUGCUGCUGAGCAACUCUGGGUUGCAUACUCUGCGUUGUCUCCGAGCAAUGUGGAUCAGCUGCAAAAAGGAAUGCAAUCUGCCAUUGAGAUACAGAGGGCUAUAUUGAGGCAAGGGAGCUCGGCGAUCACCAAGAGCGGCUUCAUACGGAGCGCAAAGAAGUUCAGGUGGGUGAAGCUCGAUGACCCAGUGGACACGAGCAAGCUGUGCCACCCUCAGGCGCUUACCAAGUUCUGCUUCUUCCUGAUGGAUGCACUGAAGGAACGGGGUGCAAGGAUGAAGCCACUGGUGUGUGCUUGCUUAGGGAGGGAGCCUGAGAAGGUGCUGGUAGUUGGGGUAUGGGGGAAGCCCAGGCUUGGGGCAGUUCAGGGGAAUUCGUUCGGUAAUGCAUUUAGGUCAGCGGCAGAGGAGAUUGGCGCAGACUAUUUCCAUGACAUGUUUGAGUCAUCAUGGAUUGUUCUUGACGUUGUUGCUGUCAGUUCUUUCAUGAUUCGGUUAACGGAGAAGCUGUAA